AUUGAACGCUGGCGGCAGGCCUAACACAUGCAAGUCGAGCGGAGCGACGGACGGGUGAGUAAUGCCUAGGAAUCUGCCUGGUAGUGGGGGAUAACGUCAGGAAACGGGCGCUAAUACCGCAUACUAUCAGAUGAGGCUAGGUCGGAUGAGGUAGUUGGUGGGGGAAAGGCCUACCAAGGCGAAGAUCCGUAACUGGGGUGGGAGGAUGAUCAGUCACACUGGAACUGAGACACGGUCCAGACUCCUACGGGAGGCAGCAGUGGGGAAUAUUGGACAAGGGGCGAAAGCCUGAUCCAGCCAUGCCGCGUGUUUGAAGAAGGGCUUCGGAUUGUAAAGUACUGUAAGUUGGGAGGCGUUACCAACAGAAUAAGCACCGGCUAACUGCGUGCCAGCAGCCGCGGUAAUUC
rnacentral:rRNA from 1 species